CGCCUAACACAUGCAAGUCGAACGAAGUAGCAAUACUUAGUGGCAGACGGGUGAGUAACAUGUAGGUAUCUGCCCUUUGGCCUGGAAUAACACGAGGAAACUUGUGCUAAUACCGGAUAAGUCUUUACGGAGAAAGCUUUAUGCACCAUUGGAUGAGCCUGCACUUGAUUAGUUUGUUGGUGGGGUAAUGGCCUACCAAGACUGUGAUCAAUAGCUGAUUUGAGAGGAUGAUCAGCCACAUUGGGACUGAGACACGGCCCAAACUCCUACGGGAGGCAGCAGUGGGGAAUCUUGCACAAUGGAGGAAACUCUGAUGCAGCGAUGCCGCGUGAGUGAAGAAGGCCUUUGGGUUGUAAAGCUCUUUCGUCGGGGAAGAAAAUGACUGUACCCGAAUAAGAAGGUCCGGCUAACUUCGUGCCAGCAGCCGCGGUAAUACGAAGGGACCUAGCGUAGUUCGGAAUUACUGGGCUUAAAGAGUUCGUAGGUGGUUGAAAAAGUUGGUGGUGAAAUCCCAGAGCUUAACUCUGGAACUGCCAUCAAAACUUUUCAGCUAGAGUAUGAUAGAGGAAAGCAGAAUUUCUAGUGUAGAGGUGAAAUUCGUAGAUAUUAGAAAGAAUACCAAUUGCGAAGGCAGCUUUCUGGAUCAUUACUGACACUGAGGAACGAAAGCAUGGGUAGCGAAGAGGAUUAGAUACCCUCGUAGUCCAUGCCGUAAACGAUGUGUGUUAGACGUUGGAAAUUUAUUUUCAGUGUCGCAGCGAAAGCGAUAAACACACCGCCUGGGGAGUAC
rnacentral:rRNA from 1 species